rnacentral:tRNA from 1 species
GGGUGGUUAGUUCAGAGGAAGAACGCUUCCCUGACACGGAAGAGGUCGCAGGUUCAAUUCCUGCACCACCCACCA